UACGUAGGGUGCGAGCGUUGUCCGGAAUUAUUGGGCGUAAAGAGCUCGUAGGCGGCUUGUCGCGUCGGAUGUGAAAACCUUGGGCUUAACUCAGGGCUUGCUUUCGAUACGGGCAGACUAGAGGUAUGCAGGGGAGAACGGGAUUCCUGGUGUAGCGGUGAAAUGCGCAGAUAUCAGGAGGAACACCGGUGGCGAAGGCGGUUCUCUGGGCAUGAACUGACGCUGAGGAGCGAAAGCAUGGGGAGCGAACAGG
rnacentral:rRNA from 1 species